rnacentral:tRNA from 1 species
CCCUGGUGGGCCAGAUUGUAAAGCAUCUGCCUAUAACGCAGGAGACCCAGGUUUGAUCCCUGGAUCGGGAA